GAGAGCACCAGCGAUCCUCUGCACCCUGACCCCCCCCCCCCACCCCCCGCCCCCCCCCGGCACCCACCGCAGGUGGGAGGGGGCCUCCCGUAGCCCCCCCUCCCCCCGGGGAGAGACGCGAUUACAAGUUGGAGCUUGCAGCUGCUUCUGGGGAGGGGGCACCAUGAACCAAGGGGUAGGCUAGUGUGGCUCCUGAGUGGCGUGAGCUUGCUGGACAGGACACCAUCUGGAUUCUCAGAAGAGAGGCCACCGGACUGACUAUGAGUGACUCAAGGGAACACACCCAGCCUUAAUAUCGCCUGCCGCGAGGUUUGCAGCCAUGAGCAGGUCCCCAAGCGCUGAGGGAGCACAAUGAAUGGCGGCGAUGAUUGCUCUGGUGUGGAUCGAGGUGGGCGCCCGGCAGUCACACCCGUGCCUGUGGGCUGGCAGCGCAGGGUGGAAGAGGGCAGAGUGUGCUAUAUCAGUCCUAGCGGGACAAGCUUGGCUUCAUUGGAGCAGACUCGUGCGUAUCUGCUGGCGGACGGCACUUGCAAGUGUGGACUGGAGUGUCCCCUCAACGUGCACAAGGUGUUCAACUUCGACCCUGCAGCGAUGGUGAUUGGGAGUGAAGGCAGCAAGGGAGACCAAGACAUGACCAAGCUCUGCAAUCACCGGCGGAAAAUUGUAGCAAUGGCAACACUUUAUCGCAGCAUGGAGACCCAUGGACCCCUCAGCCUGCCACACCUGGGGCCAGGGGCUGGAAUGACUCUGCCAUCUCACCCGGCCAUGCCAGGGCCUAGCACUUGCCUGCAGCAGACUCUUUCCAGCAAAGCUCCAACCAGCUUGCCCAAGGGGUCAGAUCUCUCCUUGCAAUGUUCCUCUGAUCGUUAUGGAAGUGCCUGGUCUGGUCCAAGCUCUUCCUUUCCCCGCCUUCACAACACUUUCUCUGCGGAUGGCUUCCCAGGCCGUCUGCCGGCCACUGUCAAUGGCAGUGCCCGCCCAGCCUUUCCGUCUGAACUGAAUGCUGCCGGGGGAUCUUUUCCACCCAGCAAGACCUCAGCAGAUGCCUCGCCCCGGCCCUAUUCAUCCAACAGUUUCCUCUUCCCCCUGCUGGAUGAGGUGGGGUCUGGUCAAGAGAGCAGCCCCUGGAGUGGUCGUUCCGUCCCUCUUGGGUCGCAAGCCAGUGUUGCCGGCUCACCUGCCCCCACCAGCCUCUCCUCCGUGUCUUCAUCAGCAGGCAGCGCUGAGCCUUCUCCACAGCGGUCACGGCCCUCAUCCGCCUCCUCUGAGCAGGGCCCCUCUGGACACCGCCUGGCUUCCAGGCCCUCCAGCUUGGACGCAGCACCCCCGACCAACGCCUUAACCAACCAAAGCAGCAAUAACCUGCCCUCAGUGCCCUUAGGAGCUGCCCCAGAAGGCAAAGGGCCGCCUGGCCUGCUGCUCCUUCCUCCACAGGGCCCAGGCUCUUUCCCAGCCAGCAGUUUGUUGAGCGCAGCCGCCAAGGCCCAGCUGGCCAGCAGGGGGCGUCCUGACGAGCUGGCUGCCAGCACUUUACCCAACCGCUUGCUGCUGUCAGUGGUGGGCGGGCGGACACCUCGGCGGCAACGUCGCUCCCCCACUGUCCUGCGCCUGCUCAAGGAUUCCCACGCAGGGCAGGCGGGGGUCACCCACCCUGAGGAGGCACUGACCCGACACUCUUGGCCUCGGGACCAGCCUCCCGGAGGAGAGGCCAAGAAUGGACCCCCAAGUGCAGCCGCCCCGGUACAGCCGCUGGCCUCUCUGCUCAGUCUGCUGGCUCCUCCCGGGAGUUCACCUACGCCAAGCCUGCCUCCACUUCUCCAGGCCCCUGCUGGCGACGGCCCCAGUUCUUUGCCCCCCUUCCAGGACUUCAACAGCCAACUCCUCAGCCUCUUUGGUCAGCUGGCCUCCACGUCUUCCGAACAGAUCUCAGGGAGUUCCCCACAGCCGAAACCUCCCACCUCCCCGCUUGCAUCCCAUGGACCCCCAGGUGGUGCUGCUGCUGCUGCUGCUGCUUCGGCUUCACUCAUGACUCCCAAAGCCCCUCCCACCCCCAGCCCUGUUACUCUCACCACCAGCACAGUGGAAGGUGGGGGCGUGGGCUGCCCGCUGCCCGCAGGCCCCGAUCCAUUCCCCUUCCUGGCACAGGAGCAAGCGCUGCCGUUUGGGAAUGCUCUACCUCCUGGGCUGUUCCCGCUGGGCUCCUUCCCCUUCUCGCUGACCUUGGGCCCAGAGACACCACUUCCCCCUCUUAACCUGCAGGAGGAGCCAGACGGACAGCCCCUGUUGCCUCUGGUGCUGCCCAGCCUGGAUUUGCUACAACAGCCAAGUGGGCUCCUGGCAUCCCUGUUGGCGCUGCCAGAGGCGGCUUGCGAAGGGCAGAGGGAAGCGGCGACCACGGAGCCAUUGUUGGAGCCCUUCGCCGGCUUGCCUGACACUCUGCAGCCCCUGCUCUUCCCAGCACUUUCCACCCCUCCAGCUGUCCUAGCUUUAAAUUCAGCAUUGUUGGCAACCGGCCUGGGCCCUUCUGACACAGGACCGAUCCCUACGCAGACCUUUCCUGUCCUUCCAUCCCAGACUGGCCUGGCUAGCACUCCCGUGGCACCUACCUCCACUAACACCACACCGACAACUACUGAGGGGACCCCCUGUGUCUCUGGGCGGCUGAAUCCCAUAUUGCCCCAGCUUGUCAAUCCGCUGCUGAGUACCACACUUCUGGGUGACCUUCCAUCCCUGAAUCCAGCUUCAGGCCCCUCAUUGAUGGGAAGUCCUCUUCUCCAGGCCCAGCAGCCUCUUUUGCCACCCAAUCUGCAAGGGCCUCUCGGAAUCCAGCUUUUCCAAGGACAGCUGCCCUUACUAGCAGGCUCCAACCCGCUGGCUUGCCUCCUCCAGAGCUUACAGCUAAGCACUGGCUUCAGUGCCCCAGAGAAACUGGUGCUACCCAGUGAGCCUCCAGCCUCAGCCUUGUCCAGCAUGCUCCCUGUGCCAGAGACUGAGCCAAGCCACCAGGCUAUCUUGCCCCCUUGCACGGACACUGCCCUCACAAGUGCCUUAGAGUCGCCCAGAGCCCUUGAGCCAGCCAGGCAAGGGGAGCAGGAGGCCGCCUCAGGGCAAGAAGCCAGCGGUUCCCACUCCCCCCACAAGCGGCUCAGAUGUAGCCCAGAAGAGCUGAAUGGGGACUCUGCCAGCAGUCUUUCACGCGGAUCACUCCGGGGCAGCAAGACUGGACGUCGUGGGGGCGGGCGGGGGCGGGGCAGGCGGCACUUCAAUGGACAACUUCCUGAGUUGGGCUCAGGACAUCUCUCGCAUCCCACCUGGCGUUGCAAUGGGGAAAUGGUGGCUAGCAGUGAAGAAACCCAAGCAGGUCCUUUUGCUGUUCAGGAGAUAAAGAGGACUUUGGUUUUAAAGUAAAAGACUAUUCUAAAGCUUACUCAGGAAGAAUUUUGGACUCUUCAGACUAUGGGGGAGGUAUGUAUGUGUUGCUGUUUCAAUAACUUGCCCUCAUUCUAACAAUAUUAAAUAUAAACCCAUGCAUGUAGAGAAAAGGAGAACCACGUAGCGAUGUGUCAGAUUAUCUAAUAUUGUGCAUACCUUACGUGAGGAAGCAUUUAAUUAUGGGUGUCUCUUUGUGUAUGCACUUACAUUUUCCCACUUUGUUUUUAGAUUGAAAUGAAAAAAAGUUUAGGAAAGCUUUACUCUUUCCUUAAAUUGAAUGAAUAAUCUGAUCCUUAUAAAAUUGGUUGUGAAACCAUGCGUUGCCAAUGAAGCAAAUUGUGUGGAGGGUCUUAUUGCCAGUUCUGGAGUACUUUUAGGAAGCUGACACCUUCAAAACUGAUACUUAUCUUCUAACCCAUUUCUUUCUCUAGGGCCCUCCGGGUAGGCGACCAGCCAGACGUGGCCGAAGGAGGAAAAGCAGUGGUGUCCGGCCCAGUGGCCGCCCUGAGACUACACGGAUUCGGGGUCCUAGCAUUGAUCCAGGAUCCAGCCCAUUGGUUGACUACACUGUUGCUCGACGGCCUCGGCCUGGCCGGCCUGUAAAAAACAGGAGGAGGAAAUUGGCCACAUAACACUGCCUGAACUGAGGGGUCUCCACCAC